rnacentral:misc_RNA from 1 species
UCUCCGUAGGUGAACCUGCGGAGGUAUCAUUACCGAGUGAGGGCUCACGCCCGACCUCCAACCCUUUGUAAUCCGUACCAUGUUGCCUCGGGGGCGACCCUGCCGCUUCGGCGGUGCGGCGCCCCCGGAGGCCAUUAAACACUGCAUCAUUGCGUCGGAGUUAAAGUAAAUUAAACAAAACUUUCAACAACGGAUCUCUUGGUUCCAGCAUCGAUGAAGAACGCAGC